rnacentral:lncRNA from 1 species
GAACCUUGAACUAACCUGAGUCAUAAAGCAAUGGCCAGGUAGUUGGACUCUUGAGUAAAGAAAGAUCGCCGAGCUGGAGACUCCUAGUUUAAAAGGCGCUCGAUAGGAAGAGGCUCACCUCAUCUUCUCACCCCUCCACCUCGCCUAUCCUACCAGGCACUCAGUAUGAAUAUAGCCAAUUUUGGCCUUGCUUUCCCAACAGGAAUUGUAUUUCAGGAACUUCUGGGUUGAAGACGGUGAGAAGCAAGUUUGGCUGACUUCGUGGCUUCCUCAUCAACAGCACCUGCAUUAUCUUGAAACUGAGGUUUACAGUUUGGAGCACAGCUAUCACUGUUCCACAAGGAUAGAGGUCGUUACUUUGUUAUUAUCCACUGGAACGUGUGAAGCUGCUCAAAGCUACAUGAAAUCUUUGCAAUGACUGUUUCCAAUAUCAUGGGGGAAGACAUAUUAUUACUUGGGGAAAGUUUUUGAAAACUGAGCAAUAAAUGUAUUAUAUUAGUAAGUGCCAGACAAACCCAAAUCAGAAUGCAUAGCUAAUAAUUUUAGGAG